rnacentral:rRNA from 1 species
UAGCCAUAUGCUUCGUUCAAGGGCUAAUCCAUGCAUGUCUCAAAGCAAAUGGUUAAAAACAGUGGGUCUGUGAAUGGCUCCUUACAUCACCAGUCACCUGGGUGGUAAUUCCAACACAGUGGGACAUCCUCCAAAACCUGGGGGCUAAUACCCAAAUCAACUGGCCCACACAAAAGGAAGGGUGUACAAGUGUGCACUCUGUGUGUGGAGCUUGCUACCAGCUUAAAUACAAACUGGCACCCACAACCUGAGCCUAUCAAAGUUGUACAGGGUAAAUUGUUGUUGACCCAGGCUGGUGACACUAACAGCUUUGGCACUCUUAGAUGGUGUUCAAUUACACCACUUGCUUGACCACCCGGGCUUCUGACCUAUCAGCUAGACUGUGGUGCAAUGGACCACAAUGGCACUUACGGGUAACGGGAAAUCAGGGUUCGACUCCGGAGAGGGAGCCUGAGAGAUGGCUACCACUACCAAGGUGGGCAGCAGGCACGUAAAUUGC